AACGAACGCUGGCGGCAUGCCUAACACAUGCAAGUCGAACGAGAUCUUCGGGUCUAGUGGCGCACGGGUGCGUAACGCGUGGGAAUCUGCCCUUUGGUUCGGAAUAACAGUUGGAAACGACUGCUAAUACCGGAUGAUGACGAAAGUCCAAAGAUUUAUCGCCAGAGGAUGAGCCCACGUAGGAUUAGCUAGUUGGUGUGGUAAAGGCGCACCAAGGCGACGAUCCUUAGCUGGUCUGAGAGGAUGAUCAGCCACACUGGGACUGAGACACGGCCCAGACUCCUACGGGAGGCGGCAGUGGGGAAUAUUGGACAAUGGGCGAAAGCCUGAUCCAGCAAUGCCGCGUGAGUGAUGAAGGCCUUAGGGUUGUAAAGCUCUUUUACCCGGGAUGAUAAUGACAGUACCGGGGGAAUAAGCUCCGGCUAACUCCGUGCCAGCCGCCGCGGUAA
rnacentral:rRNA from 1 species